rnacentral:rRNA from 1 species
GUGCCAGCAGCCGCGGUAAUACGAAGGGGGCUAGCGUUGUUCGGAAUUACUGGGCGUAAAGCGCACGUAGGCGGGUCGUUAAGUUAGAGGUGAAAUCCCGGGGCUCAACCCCGGAACUGCCUUUGAUACUGGCGAUCUAGAGGUCGAGAGAGGUGAGUGGAAUUCCGAGUGUAGAGGUGAAAUUCGUAGAUAUUCGGAAGAACACCAGUGGCGAAGGCGGCUCACUGGCUCGAUACUGACGCUGAGGUGCGAAAGCGUGGGGAGCAAACAGGAUUAGAUACCCUCGUAGUCC